rnacentral:rRNA from 1 species
GAUUUGGGCUACACACGUGCUACAAUGGACAAUACAAAGGGCAGCGAAACCGCGAGGUCAAGCAAAUCCCAUAAAGUUGUUCUCAGUUCGGAUUGUAGUCUGCAACUCGACUACAUGAAGCUGGAAUCGCUAGUAAUCGUAGAUCAGCAUGCUACGGUGAAUACGUUCCCGGGUCUUGUACACACCGCCCGUCACACCACGAGAGUUUGUAACACCCGAAGCCGGUGGAGUAACCAUUUUGGAGCUAGCCGUCGAAGGUGGGACAAAUGAUUGGGGUGAAGUCGUAACAAGGUAGCCGUAUCGGAAGGUGCGGCUGGAUCACCUCCUUUCUAAGGA